rnacentral:rRNA from 1 species
AUUGAACGCUGGCGGCGUGCUUAACACAUGCAAGUCGAUCGGUAACAGGUGUAGCAAUACAUGCUGACGAGAGGCGGACGGGUGAGUAAUGCUUGGGAAUCUGCCUAUUAGUGGGGACAACCCGGGAACUCGGGCUAAUACCGCAUACGCUCUACGGAGGAAAGCCGGGACCGCAAGGCCUGGCGCUAAUAGAUGAGCCCAAGUCGGAUUAGCUAGUUGGUAGGGAACGGCCUACCAAGGCGACAAUCCGUAGCUGGUCUGAGAGGACGACCAGCCACACCGGAACUGAGACACGGUCCGGACUCCUACGGGAGGCAAGCAGUGGGGAAUAUUGGACAAUGGGGGCAACCCUGAUCCAGCGACGCCGCGUGGGUG